rnacentral:rRNA from 1 species
GGGAGGCAGCAGUGGGGAAUAUUGCACAAUGGGCGAGCUGACGCAGCGACGCCGCGUGGGGAUGACGGCCUUCGGGUUGUAAACCUCUGUCAUUUGGGAAGAAGCUUAGUGAUGGUUCCUGCAUGAGAUGAUCCUGCCGACUACGGGCCGGCCGGCUCGGUCUUUGCCAGCAGCCGCGGUAAUAAGGAAUUACUGGGCGUAAAGAGUUCGUAGGCGGUUUGUCGCG